rnacentral:rRNA from 1 species
AGCGAACGCUGGCGGCAGGCCUAACACAUGCAAGUCGAACGGAUCCUUCGGGAUUAGUGGCGGACGGGUGAGUAACACGUGGGAACGUGCCCUUUGGUUCGGAACAACUCAGGGAAAUAUGAGCUAAUAACGGAUGUGCCCUUCGGGGGAAAGAUUGAUCGCCAUUGGAGCGGCCCGCGUCUGAUUAGCUAGUUGGUGAGGUAACGGCCCACCAAGGCGACGAUCAGUAGCUGGUCUGAGAGGAUGAUCAGCCACACUGGGACUGAGACACGGCCCAGACUCCUACGGGAGGCAGCAGUGGGGAAUCUUGCGCAAUGGGCGAAAGCCUGACGCAGCCAGGCCGCGUGAAUGAUGAAGGUCUUAGGAUUGUAAAAUUCUUUCAGCGGGGACGAUAAUGACGGUACCCGCAGAAGAAGCUCCGGCUAACUUCGUG